CACUUCUCCACUUAUAAGAAUGAAACCAAUCACCAUCAAUAAUGGAUGAAGCACAGCAUAAAUAAGGUCUUCUUCUUGAGUAGAAGAAGAAUGAGGGUAAAAGCUAGUUUUAAAGUAAAGAGCCCAAGUUAGAACAAGAAAAGCAACAAUGGAAGCUGAAAGUCUUGCGAAGACAAGUAGUGAAAAUGAGUGUGCAGCAGCCAUGGCCAGUGAGUACAGUGGCUCAGUGGUAGUGUUCAAAG
rnacentral:misc_RNA from 1 species